UACGAAGGGAGCUAGCGUUGUUCGGAAUUACUGGGCGUAAAGGGCGCGUAGGCGGUACUAUAAGUCAGAUGUGAAAGCCCCGGGCUUAACCUGGGAUGUGCAUUUGAUACUGUAGAACUAGAGAUCGAGAGAGGAAAGUGGAAUUACGAGUGUAGAGGUGAAAUUCGUAGAUAUUCGUAAGAACACCAGUGGCGAAGGCGGCUUUCUGGCUCGAUACUGACGCUGAGGAGCGAAAGCGUGGGUAGCAAACAGG
rnacentral:rRNA from 1 species